rnacentral:tRNA from 1 species
GGGCCGGUAGAUCAGUGGUAAUUUGAAACAUGCACCAUGCACCGCACGUUUCUUUCGCUGAAGAUCGCCACCUUGGCAUGGUGGAGGCCUCGGGUUCAAAUCCCGACCGGUCCA